CAAACAUAUGUAAUCACUUUAUAUUUUAUUUGGUUUGUUCAUGAAUUGAAGGAUAUGAGGAAUCUACUCUUUUCCAUUUACAACUCAUGACUUAAUAUUUAGACAAAAAAAUUAGUCAUGGCCAUUUCCUAAUUCAGAAACCAGCGUUUUAACUCACUGAUCUAAUCUAAUUUAAGCGAAUCUGGCUUUUAACAUCUCUUCAGAUUAAGAGAUUCUCCAUUUCCAAUGCACUCUGGUGUUAAUGUGGAAACUGGAUCUCUGUUUUCUUUGUUAUGGGAGUAAGGGCUGUUUGUCCAGGUUAUGCAACCGAUGGCUGGUUUUCUGUCAUCAAUCACUCUACAGAAGCCUGGCUGGACUGCCUGUGACCUCCACCCACACCAAUUUGCUUAGCAACCGUGCCGCAAAGUGAAGCACUGCAGCGGUGAGUCAACCUGACGAGAGACGGAAGGACAGAUGAUGCUGUCAGUCUGAACAAGCCGCGUGGGCUCACACAGAGACAGCGGCGGAUGAUUCAUAUCGGCUGGAGUGCUCCUUUUGUGAACUGCUGCCGCCACAUCUCUGCUGUAACAUGGCCUUCAUAGAAAUGAAGCCACGAAGGGCCUUGAAAUGGAUGGAAGCAACACAAACCGGGAGCUGUGAGCUCUGGGCUGACAUUCACGCAGUGAAUCUAUUCAUAGCCGAUGGAGAAACUCAAGAUAAUGUGGCAACGAGUCCUUCACGCUCGAAUCAACAGCACAUCUCAUCUCUGCAAACAGGAACGGAAGGAAUCUCGUGGAGUUUUAUCACGGAGAGACACGCGUGGGCUGAGCGACAGAAGUCCAGAAGCGAGUGAAAACACAAAAAGCUAAAGCUUUAUUUCCAAACAAAGCACUUCUAUGUGGCGCUUCUUGGAAGACAUUCCUCUCCAGCAUUCCAGAGCGUGUGGAGGUGGAGGUCUCGACCGCUGGCUCUGAGGAUAAUUAAGUUUGUAAUUUUUAAUGAAAUGUCCUACACCUACACACACUGGACGUCCUAAAACCUCUCUGUCUCGGUCUGCCUGACUACCUUUCUCUUCACACACAUAUAUAAAUUAUAUACAAUAUACAAAAAAUAAUUACAAUUGUCAUUAAUAUUAAUUAUUAUAAUGUAUAAUAUAUUUAAAAUAUACUUAACAGUUAUUAUUUAUUAUAUUACAUCAUAAUACAAUAGUAAUAAUACAUGUAAAACUAGUAAUAUAAUUCAUAUGAAUUACUAUUAAGGUAAUAUGUUUUCUCUACAUAUGAACCCCAUUAAUUUAUACAUAUAUCUAUAAAAG
ensembl:lncRNA